CCCUGCGGGCAUCUUCCAGGAACUCUUUUGUUCUUAAGUUGGAGCUGGUGUCCAGUGCUGGCCGUCAGAGAACUGUAACCGACGCAGACGUGCGUACUGGAGAAGAUGUUAAAAGGCCUGGCCAGUCUCCCCCUCGCCCAGGAAAUGAGGGUUUUUGGAAUUUGUUUCGUAGGGCGUGGAAUGACACUCAAGACCUUUCUAUUAACUACGUAGAAAUCCCCUUACUGCUUGCUGUAGCCACUAAGUGUGUCUAUUAAUAAAAACAAACCCAGAGACUGAUUCUGCAGAAUUGCCAAAUUCACCGCCAGUUGAAUUCAUAACCUCAGCCAGUCGCGGAAAAGGGUGGAAUUCUGUCAACUGGAUUCAUGAUAUCUGGGAGUCGUCAGAGGACAUAAAAACCCUGAACACAAUCCCUCAGGAAGAUUUUCUUCUGACCUUCAUUGCCAAGAAAGUACCUUUGUCUCCCCUCCUGCCCGCACCACGCGGUUGCUGUGCCAGUAACCAGAACCCACACCCGCAUGGCCGGAAGGAUGAGAGGCAGGCUCCGAUCAGGACAGAGAAGGGCUAUAUCCAGAAGAAACCGCAGGAACGAGUGAAUAUGUUGUCGAAAAAUAUAGGAGACAUUUAUGGAAAUCUUUUAAAGGCUGUUUGACCAA